GAUGAACGCUGGCGGCGUGCCUAAUACAUGCAAGUCGAGCGAACGGACGAGAAGCUUGCUUCUCUGAUGUUAGCGGCGGACGGGUGAGUAACACGUGGAUAACCUACCUAUAAGACUGGGAUAACUUCGGGAAACCGGAGCUAAUACCGGAUAAUAUUUUGAACCGCAUGGUUCAAAAGUGAAAGACGGUCUUGCUGUCACUUAUAGAUGGAUCCGCGCUGCAUUAGCUAGUUGGUAAGGUAACGGCUUACCAAGGCAACGAUGCAUAGCCGACCUGAGAGGGUGAUCGGCGACACUGGAACUGGGACACGGUCCAGACUACUACGGGAGGCAGCAGUAGGGAAUCUUCCGCAGUGGGGGAAAGCCUGACGGAGCAACGCCGCGUGAGAGAUGAAGGUCUUCGGAUCGUAAAACUCUGUUAUUAGGGAAGAACAUAUGUGUAAGUAACUGUGCACAUAUUGACGGUACCUAAUCAGAAAGCCACGGCUAACUACGUG
rnacentral:rRNA from 1 species